rnacentral:lncRNA from 1 species
UAAGACAACCACGACAGAUGACAAAAGACUUCAAAGCACCCUGAAAAGAAUAGGGGUGAAUGCUAUACCAGCAAUUGAGGAGGUCAAUAUUUUCAAGGAGGAUGUAGUAAUCCAGUUCACUAACCCUAAAGGUACCCAUGAUGUAGACAAUCUGUAUUUUGUCCCAAUUGACUUCUUUUGGUCCUUUGACCCUCUAUUGACUUGUUAUCUUUUGUUAUUCAGUUCAAGCAUCUAUUGCUGCCAACACUUGGGUUGUUAGUGGCUCUCCUCAGACCAAGAGUAUGCUCUCCUCUUUUCUCUUCAUGAAAACAUAGUUUUUAAUUUUUCAGGUGCAUAACAGUCAUUGUCAUAUAGUGCAAUAUUUGUCCUUAUUUUAUUUUAGUCUGAGUUGCUGUUUGAGAAAUAUUAUAUAAAAAAAAAAAAAAAAAAAAGGAAAAUGUUAUGAAAUUUGAUAUAAACCUAGUUCCAGACACAUAAGGGCUGUAACCAUAUUUCGACUUAUGGUCGAUCCAUUGAUUUUUGAUUGCAAAUAAAUAAGCAGAUUGGCCUCAAAUAGCUUAUUUCCUUUGUAUUUGGGAAUUUGAGUUGCUAGCUGAACUUUCCUCAAUUUUAUUUAUUUAUUUUUUGGUCUCUAUCGUAAAUAAUGGAGGGGAAGGUUGAUUGCUAUUUAUGUUAUCUGUUGUACUGUUACUUCUAUCAAUUUAAACUGAUUUUCUAUUUGGUUCUGUCUUAGAAUUGCAAGACGUUCUCCCUCAAAUCAUUCACCAAUUAGGUUUGCGUUCAGCUUUCUUUUCUUCUUAUAUUUGUUUGGUUAGACUAAUUGGAAAAAACUUGAUUGUCUAAAGGUUUCUCCUGAAAACUUCAGGUCCAGAUAACUUGGAGAAUUUGAAGAAACUGGCAGAGCAGUUCAAAAAUCAGAUGCCUGGUGCAGCUGCUGAUGCAGCUCAAGAACAAGAUGAUGAUGAUGUACCAGACCUUGUGGCUGGCGAGACCUUUGAGGCUGCCGCAGAGGAGGGCCAUGAUCAUGAUCAUGACCAUGACCAUGACCAUGACCAUGACCAUGAUCAUGGUCAUGGUCAUGAUGAUCAUGGUCAUGCUUAAGAGCUCGAUAUUGAUUUUGUGUGCAAUUCCUUGUAUUUUUAUUUUUUUAAUGCUUUUGAGAUGUUUAUUAUGAAAAUACUAGACAGUUUGUUACAUUAACAUAGCCCUUCAGAUCAUUAUCUGCC